rnacentral:misc_RNA from 1 species
GAUGAAGAACGUAGCGAACUGCGAUAAGUAAUGUGAAUUGCAGAAUUCAGUGAAUCAUCGAGUCUUUGAACGCACAUUGCGCCCCCUGGCAUUCCGGGGGGCAUGCCUGUCCGAGCGUCAUUGCUGCCCUUCAAGCCCGGCUUGUGUGUUGGGUCGUCGUCCCCCCCGGGGACGGGCCCGAAAGGCAGCGGCGGCACCGCGUCCGGUCCUCGAGCGUAUGGGGCUUUGUCACCCGCUCGAUUAGGGCCGGCCGGGCGCCAGCCGGCGUCUCCAACCUUCUAUUUUACCAGGUUGACCUCGGAUCAGGUAGGGAUACCCGCUGAACUUAAGCAUAUCAAUAAGCGGAGGA